UACGGAGGGGGGCUAGCGUUGUUCGGAAUUACUGGGCGUAAAGCGCACGUAGGCGGCUUUGUAAGUUAGAGGUGAAAGCCCGGGGCUCAACUCCGGAAUUGCCUUUAAAACUACAUCGCUAGAAUUGUGGAGAGGUAAGUGGAAUUCCGAGUGUAGAGGUGAAAUUCGUAGAUAUUCGGAAGAACACCAGUGGCGAAGGCGACUUACUGGACACAUAUUGACGCUGAGGUGCGAAAGCGUGGGGAGCAAACAGG
rnacentral:rRNA from 1 species